rnacentral:rRNA from 1 species
GAUGAACGCUGGCGGCGUGCCUAAUACAUGCAAGUCGAGCGAACGGACGAGAAGCUUGCUUUUCUGAUGUUAGCGGCGGACGGGUGAGUAACACGUGGAUAACCUACCUAUAAGACUGGGAUAACUUCGGGAAACCGGAGCUAAUACCGGAUAAUAUUUUGAACCGCAUGGUUCAAAAGUGAAAGACGGUCUUUCUGUCACUUAUAGAUGGAUCCGCGCUGCAUUAGCUAGUUGGUAAGGUAACGGCUUACCAAGGCAACGAUGCAUAGCCGACCUGAGAGGGUGACUGGCCACACGGGAACUGAGACACGGUUCAGACUCCUACGGGAGGCAGCAGUAGGGAAUCUUCCGCAAUGGGCGAAAGCAUGACGGAGCAACACCGCGUGAGUGAUGAAGGUCUUCGGAUCGUAAAACUCUGUUAUUAGGGAAGAACAUAUGUGUAAGUAACUGUGCACAUCUUGACGGUACCUAAUCAGAAAGCCACGGCUAACUACGUG